rnacentral:rRNA from 1 species
CACGUAGGGUCCGAGCGUUUGUCCGGAAUUACUGGGCGUAAAGCGCGCGCAGGCGGUCCAUUCAGUCGCUGGUGAAAGCCCCACGCUCAACGUGGGAAGGUCCGGCGAGACGGGUGGACUGGAGGCAGGGAGAGGUCGGUGGAAUUCCGGGUGUAGUGGUGAAAUGCGUAGAGAUCCGGAGGAACACCAGAGGCGAAGGCGGCCGACUGGACCUGACCUGACGCUGAGGCGCGAAGGCGUGGGGAGCGAACGGG